AUGACAAUCAACAAGGCGCAAGGGCAGACCAUCCCGAUUGUCGGAGUGUACCCGGACCCUAUAUUUUCUCACGGUCAGCUAUACGUCGCAUUGUCUAGAGCCACUGCGAAGAGGAACAUUAAGAUUCUCGCCAUCAAGGACAACGACAAUGGUAAGGGCAAGGGUAAGGUCAAGGGCAAGGAACAAAUCAAUAAUUCAAAUAAGCGAAAAAGAUCUGAGCCCUUAUUAACGACCAUGAAGAACAUAGUCUACAAGGAAGUCCUUAGCACAUGA
rnacentral:rRNA from 1 species